rnacentral:rRNA from 1 species
AACGAACGCUGGCGGCAUGCCUAACACAUGCAAGUCGAACGAGACCUUCGGGUCUAGUGGCGCACGGGUGCGUAACGCGUGGGAACCUGCCCUUAGGUUCGGAAUAACUCCCCGAAAGGGGUGCUAAUACCGGAUAAUGUCUUCGGACCAAAGAUUUAUCGCCUUUGGAUGGGCCCGCGUUGGAUUAGCUAGUUGGUAGGGUAAAAGCCUACCAAGGCGACGAUCCAUAGCUGGUCUGAGAGGAUGAUCAGCCACACUGGGACUGAGACACGGCCCAGACUCCUACGGGAGGCAGCAGUGGGGAAUAUUGGACAAUGGGCGAAAGCCUGAUCCAGCAAUGCCGGGUGAGUGAUGAAGGCGUUAGGGUUGUAAAGCUCUUUUACCCGGGAUGAUAAUGACAGUACCGGGAGAAUAAGCUCCGGCUAACUCCGUG